UACGUAGGGGGCAAGCGUUAUCCGGAUUUACUGGGUGUAAAGGGAGCGUAGACGGCAAUACAAGUCGGAAGUGAAAUACCCGGGCUUAACCUGGGAACUGCUUUGGAAACUGUAUGGCUGGAGUGCUGGAGAGGUAAGCGGAGUUCCUAGUGUAGCGGUGAAAUGCGUAGAUAUUAGGAGGAACACCAGUGGCGAAGGCGGCUUACUGGACAGUAACUGACGUUGAGGCUCGAAAGCGUGGGGAGCAAACAGG
rnacentral:rRNA from 1 species